rnacentral:snRNA from 1 species
GCGCUCCCUUCAGCUGCACACAUACUCAAAUGGGAACAACACAGAGAUCAGCAUGGCCCCUGCGCAAAUUCGUGAAGCAUUCCAUAUUUAG